GAUGAACGCUGGCUACAGGCUUAACACAUGCAAGUCGAGGGGAAACGACGGGGAAGCUUGCUUCCCCGGGCGUCGACCGGCGCACGGGUGAGUAACGCGUAUCCAACCUGCCUCUGACUGAGGGAUAACCCGUCGAUAGUCGGCCUAAUACCUCAUGGUAUCGUCUGCGGGCAUCCAACGACGAUUAAAGAUUUCAUCGGUCAGGGAUGGGGAUGCGUCUGAUUAGCUUGUUGGCGGGGUAACGGCCCACCAAGGCUACGAUCAGUAGGGGUUCUGAGAGGAAGGUCCCCCACAUUGGAACUGAGACACGGUCCAAACUCCUACGGGAGGCGGCAGUGAGGAAUAUUGGUCAAUGGGCGAGAGCCUGAACCAGCCAAGUAGCGUGCAGGAAGACGGCCCUAUGGGUUGUAAACUGCUUUUAUGCGGGGAUAAAGUGAGGGACGUGUCCCUCAUUGCAGGUACCGCAUGAAUAAGGACCGGCUAAUUCCGUG
rnacentral:rRNA from 1 species